GGGCCCGACGUCGCAUGCUCCCGGCCGCCAUGGCGGCCGCGGGAAUUCGAUUAGAGUUUGAUCAUGGCUCAGAACGAACGCUGGCGGCAUGCCUAACACAUGCAAGUCGAACGAAGGCUUCGGCCUUAGUGGCGCACGGGUGCGUAACGCGUGGGAAUCUGCCCCUUGGUUCGGAAUAACAGUUAGAAAUGACUGCUAAUACCGGAUGACGACGUAAGUCCAAAGAUUUAUCGCCGAGGGAUGAGCCCGCGUAGGAUUAGCUAGUUGGUGUGGUAAAGGCGCACCAAGGCGACGAUCCUUAGCUGGUCUGAGAGGAUGAUCAGCCACACUGGGACUGAGACACGGCCCAGACUCCUACGGGAGGCAGCAGUGGGGAAUAUUGGACAAUGGGCGAAAGCCUGAUCCAGCAAUGCCGCGUGAGUGAUGAAGGCCUUAGGGUUGUAAAGCUCUUUUACCCGGGAUGAUAAUGACAGUACCGGGAGAAUAAGCUCCGGCUAACUCCGUGCCAGCAGCCGCGGUAAUACGAAUCACUAGUGAAUUCGCGGCCGCCUGCAGGUCGACCAUAUGGGAGAGCUCCCAACGCGUUGGAUGC
rnacentral:rRNA from 1 species